rnacentral:misc_RNA from 1 species
GGCCGUCCACUUCUAUUUGCAAGAACAUCCUGAUCUCAUCAAUGAUCUUCUGAAUGUUCUUGCACUUAGAGUGGACCACACCCGUGUAGUCGACAUAAUGAGAAAGGCGGGUCAUCUUCGCCUAGUGAAGCCUUACAUGAUUGCUGUUCAAAGUAACAACGUUUCUUCUGUAAAUGAGGCCCUUAAUGAGAUAUAUGUUGAAGAAGAAGAUUAUGAUAGAUUACGUGAA